rnacentral:lncRNA from 1 species
AAUCAUUUAUUUUUAUGUCUAUAUGAUGCAUAAGCCAAAUACUAUAAAAAUAUAUUAUUUUUAAUCAUUAGAUGUUUUUUAAUAUUAUAAAUUAUAAUCAAUGGUAUGGAUCUUCAGUUUGAUUUUUUGUAAUUAAUUUUUAAAACUAAUUAGAAUUUAGCAGCGAAUAAGUAUCCUCCUCUCAAAAGGCAUACAACAUCUCAUACACACACACACAUGCAAGCACAUACACACAAACAAAUCUCACUUUC